rnacentral:rRNA from 1 species
AGUGAACGCUGGCGGUAGGCCUAACACAUGCAAGUCGAACGGCAGCACAGUAAGAGCUUGCUCUUACGGGUGGCGAGUGGCGGACGGGUGAGGAAUACAUCGGAAUCUACUUUUUCGUGGGGGAUAACGUAGGGAAACUUACGCUAAUACCGCAUACGACCUACGGGUGAAAGCAGGGGAUCUUCGGACCUUGCGCGAUUGAAUGAGCCGAUGUCGGAUUAGCUAGUUGGCGGGGUAAAGGCCCACCAAGGCGACGAUCCGUAGCUGGUCCGAGAGGAUGAUCAGCCACACUGGAACUGAGACACGGUCCAGACUCCUACGGGAGGCAGCAGUGGGGAAUAUUGGACAAUGGGCGCAAGCCUGAUCCAGCCAUACCGCGUGAGUGAAGAAGGCCUUCGGGUUGUAAAGCCCUUUUGUUGGGAAAGAAAAGCAGCAGGUUAAUACCCCGCUGUUCUGACGGUACCCAAAGAAUAAGCACCGGCUAACUUCGUG